GAGUAACGCGUGAGCAACCUGCCUUACAGAGGGGGAUAGCCAUUGGAAACGAUGGAUAAUACCGCAUAACGUACGAUCAUGGCAUCAUGGAUGUACCAAAGGAGCAAUCCGCUGUAAGAUGGGCUCGCGUCCGAUUAGAUAGUUGGCGGGGUAACGGGCCCACCAAGUCGACGAUCGGUAGCCGGACUGAGAGGUUGAACGGGCCACGAUUGGGACUGAGACACGGCCCAGACUCCUACGGGAGGCAGCAGUGAGGGGUAUUGCACAAUGGGCGAAAGCCUGAUGCCAGCAACGCCGCGUGAGGAAGACGGUUUUCGGAUUGUAAACCUCUGUUCUAAGUGAAGAUAAUGACAUUAGCUUAGGAGAAAGCCACGGCUAACUACGUGCCAGCCGCUGC
rnacentral:rRNA from 1 species